CCUACAAUGCAAGUCGAACGAAGCCUUGGGAGCUUGCUCUUGGGGACUGAGUGGCGCACGGGUGAGUAACGCGUGGAUGAUCUACCCUGGAGUUUGGAAUAGCAGCUGGAAACGGCUGGUAAUACCGGAUACGGCACCUAUUCUACGUUGGUGUUAAAGGAGGCCUCUGCUUGCAAGCUUUCGCUUUGGGAUGAGUCCGCGUUUCAUUAGGUAGUUGGUGGGGUAAUGGCUCACCAAGCCUGCGAUGAAUAGCCGACCUGAGAGGGUAAUCGGCCACACUGGGACUGGAACACGGCCCAGACUCCUACGGGAGGCAGCAGUGGGGAAUAUUGCGCAAUGGGCGAAAGCCUGACGCAGCGACGCCGCGUGAGGGAUGAAGGGCUUCGGUUCGUAAACCUCUGUCAGGAGGGAAGAAGUGGUAGGGUGCUAAUCAGCUCUACCUUGACGGUACCUCCAAAGGAAGCACCGGCUAACUCCGUGCCAGCAGCCGCGGUAAUACGGAGGGUGCAAGCGUUAAUCGGAAUCACUGGGCGUAAAGCGCAUGUAGGCUGCUUUGCAAGUCAGGGGUGAAAGCCCACGGCUUAACCGUGGAACUGCCUUUGAAACUGCAUUGCUUGAGUCUGUGAGAGGGUAGUGGAAUUCCAGGUGUAGGGGUGAAAUCCGUAGAGAUCUGGAGGAACAUCAGUGGCGAAGGCGACUACCUGGUGCAGUACUGACGCUGAGAUGCGAAAGCGUGGGGAUCAAACAGGAUUAGAUACCCUGGUAGUCCACGCUGUAAACGAUGGAUACUAGGUGUCGGGAGCAUGUCUUUCGGUGCCGUAGCUAACGCAUUAAGUAUCCCGCCUGGGGAGUACGGUCGCCAAGGCUGAAACUCCAAGAAAUUGACGGGGGCCCCCACAANCGGUGGANUAUGUGGUUUUANUUCGAUGCANCCCAAAAAACCUUACCUAGGCCUNGACUUCCAGGAANCCUCCCNAAAAAGANGGGUGCUCUUCGANANCCUGAAACAGGGCNGCAUGGCUGUCCNCCCUCNNGNCCCGAGGNUUUGGUAAAUCNACCACCAACCC
rnacentral:rRNA from 1 species